UACGGAGGGAGCUAGCGUUGUUCGGAAUUACUGGCGUAAAGCGCACGUAGGCGGCUAUUCAAGUCGGGGGUGAAAGCCCGGGGCUCAACCCCGGAACUGCCCUCGAAACUAGAUAGCUAGAAUCUUGGAGAGGCGAGUGGAAUUCCGAGUGUAGAGGUGAAAUUCGUAGAUAUUCGGAAGAACACCAGUGGCGAAGGCGACUCGCUGGACAAGUAUUGACGCUGAGGUGCGAAAGCGUGGGGAGCAAACAGG
rnacentral:rRNA from 1 species